UGGACCAAAUGUUUAAAAGGAUGACAUUCUGUGAUACAGAGAAAAUUAGCAUGGCCCCUGCACAAGGAUGACAUGCAUAUUUGUGAAGCAUUCCAUAUGGUU
rfam:Otolemur garnettii contig012339, whole genome shotgun sequence.